rnacentral:lncRNA from 1 species
AACGAGGCUACUUGAAGAAGAAAAGCACUGAAGAAGUCGAGGCUCAAUAAGACCAGGCAUAAUUGGGCCUUGUAGUCUUUGCUCUAUUCUCGUUACAUGACAAUGAGCAAAGAGGGGCAGCUGUAAUAAGGCCCAAUCAGCCUGAGUCCAAACAAAACAAAAAAACAGUUCAAACCAACAAAUAAGCGGACCAAACCAACAAACAAACACAAACCCGAGCCAAUACAGCAAAACAAAAAAAAACAAAAGAGGAAAACCUUAGCCGCAUCUGUCUUAGCGCCGCAACAGCCCCCACGUCAUGCCCAAUGCCCAGUUGCCGUACGUUUCAGAAUCGAC